UGCCCAGCAACUUCUAUCCCUACCUCCUCGCGGUACUGGCCGGGGUACGAGUAACCUUAGGGAAGAUCGGGUAACCAACCCCCGGUGGGAACUUUGGUCGUAUGCUGACAGGGAAGG
rnacentral:ribozyme from 1 species